GCCGGGGUCGCCUAGUGGCUAGGGCGAUGGCCUCGAGAGCCAUUGGUCAUUAUGACCGCGUGGGUUCAAAUCCCACCCCCGGCG
rnacentral:tRNA from 1 species